rnacentral:lncRNA from 1 species
GUGGAGGCAGGCAGGCCUGGAGGUGAGAGGGAGCUACACUUGGAGCCUGAUGCGCCAUCUUCAAAAGAACACAGCGUCAAACAAACAGGGAACUUGGAAGUGACACCCUCAGUGGAAGGAUAAUCUUAGAGUGGGGUGGGGUGAGGUACAAACCUGUGUCCCAUCAGCAAGUUUUGUGCACAGAGAAAGGAAGACAGUCCCCAAACAAAAGCAAACACAAACCAAAAAGACAAGUAAAAGUCAGUGGAAACUAUGUGAAUCCCAAGGUGACCUUAAAGGAUUGUUACCAUCAGGUUCCAAAAAAACAAAGAGGACACCACGGCCUCAAGAAAAUCUGCAGUAAAUAUGUGUCUUGGCAGUGCUGAUUGCCUGGGGGACCCUGCACAAAAGAGAACAGGCAGCCUGGACUCCCAAGAAAUGAAGGGCAAACUGCCCUGCCCCAUCCCCUGCUGCUGCUACCAUUUGCCAGAAACCGGAGGAGAGGCGAUGAGACUGGAUUGUAUGCUUUGUUGUAAAUACUCAAGCCUGGGAUAGAUGAAAACACUGACCUCUGACCGCUGCUCCACACCUGGGGUGCAGGAAGAAGCACUGUCAAUAACCACGAACUUUGUGAAAACCGGAAAGGACUGCAGGAGACCUGGGAUGUGGACACCAGGCCCACCCUGCUUCCGGCCACAAUUCCACACACCUGGGGCAAGAGGAGCCCGGGACGAAAAGCACCAGCACCGGGUUGCCAAGAGUGGCGUGGACAGGAGGAACCACAUGCAGC